rnacentral:rRNA from 1 species
GGUUAAGCGACUAAGCGUACACGGUGGAUGCCCUGGCAGUCAGAGGCGAUGAAGGACGUGCUAAUCUGCGAUAAGCGCCGGUAAGGUGAUAUGAACCGUUAUAACCGGCGAUUUCCGAAUGGGGAAACCCAGUGUGACUCGUCACACUAUCAUUAACUGAAUCCAUAGGUUAAUGAGGCGAACCGGGGGAACUGAAACAUCUAAGUACCCCGAGGAAAAGAAAUCAACCGAGAUUCCCCCAGUAGCGGCGAGCGAACGGGGAGGAGCCCAGAGCCUGAAUCAGCAUGUGUGUUAGUGGAAGCGUCUGGAAAGGCGCGCGAUACAGGGUGACAGCCCCGUACACAAAAGCGCAUGUGCUGUGAGCUCGAUGAGUAGGGCGGGACACGUGGUAUCCUGUCUGAAUAUGGGGGGACCAUCCUCCAAGGCUAAAUACUCCUGACUGACCGAUAGUGAACCAGUACCGUGAGGGAAAGGCGAAAAGAACCCCGGCGAGGGGAGUGAAAAAGAACCUGAAACCGUGUACGUACAAGCAGUGGGAGCACAGGUUUACCUGUGUGACUGCGUACCUUUUGUAUAAUGGGUCAGCGACUUAUAUUCUGUAGCAAGGUUAACCGUAUAGGGGAGCCGGAGGGAAACCGAGUCUUAAUUGGGCGUUAAGUUGCAGGGUAUAGACCCGAAACCCGGUGAUCUAGCCAUGGGCAGGUUGAAGGUUGGGUAACACUAACUGGAGGACCGAACCGACUAAUGUUGAAAAAUUAGCGGAUGACCUGUGGCUGGGGGUGAAAGGCCAAUCAAACCGGGAGAUAGCUGGUUCUCCCCGAAAGCUAUUUAGGUAGCGCCUCGUGAAUUCAUCUCCGGGGGUAGAGCACUGUUUCGGCUAGGGGGCCAUCCCGGCUUACCAACCCGAUGCAAACUGCGAAUACCGGAGAAUGUUAUCACGGGAGACACACGGCGGGUGCUAACGUCCGUCGUGAAGAGGGAAACAACCCAGACCGCCAGCUAAGGUCCCAAAGUCAUGGUUAAGUGGGAAACGAUGUGGGAAGGCCCAGACAGCCAGGAUGUUGGCUUAGAAGCAGCCAUCAUUUAAAGAAAGCGUAAUAGCUCACUGGUCGAGUCGGCCUGCGCGGAAGAUGUAACGGGGCUAAACCAUGCACCGAAGCUGCGGCAGCGAACGUAUCACCCAAGACAACUUUACGGAGUUGACGAUUGACGGAGCGAAGCGACGUCAAAGCGUUCAUUAAAGUCGAGUUGGCUUAGGGAUACGUUCGUUGGGUAGGGGAGCGUUCUGUAAGCCUGUGAAGGUGUGUCGUGAGGCAUGCUGGAGGUAUCAGAAGUGCGAAUGCUGACAUAAGUAACGAUAAAGCGGGUGAAAAGCCCGCUCGCCGGAAGACCAAGGGUUCCUGUCCAACGUUAAUCGGGGCAGGGUGAGUCGACCCCUAAGGCGAGGCCGAAAGGCGUAGUCGAUGGGAAACGGGUUAAUAUUCCCGUACUUGGUGUUACUGCGAAGGGGGGACGGAGAAGGCUAUGUUGGCCGGGCGACGGUUGUCCCGGUUUAAGCGUGUAGGUGUGUGUUCCAGGUAAAUCCGGUUCACUUUAACACUGAGGCGUGACGACGAGGCACUACGGUGCUGAAGCAACAAAUGCCCUGCUUCCAGGAAAAGCCUCUAAGCAUCAGGUAACAUCAAAUCGUACCCCAAACCGACACAGGUGGUCAGGUAGAGAAUACCAAGGCGCUUGAGAGAACUCGGGUGAAGGAACUAGGCAAAAUGGUGCCGUAACUUCGGGAGAAGGCACGCUGACAUGUAGGUGAAGUGAUUUACUCAUGGAGCUGAAGUCAGUCGAAGAUACCAGCUGGCUGCAACUGUUUAUUAAAAACACAGCACUGUGCAAACACGAAAGUGGACGUAUACGGUGUGACGCCUGCCCGGUGCCGGAAGGUUAAUUGAUGGGGUCAGCGCAAGCGAAGCUCCUGAUCGAAGCCCCGGUAAACGGCGGCCGUAACUAUAACGGUCCUAAGGUAGCGAAAUUCCUUGUCGGGUAAGUUCCGACCUGCACGAAUGGCGUAAUGAUGGCCAGGCUGUCUCCACCCGAGACUCAGUGAAAUUGAACUCGCUGUGAAGAUGCAGUGUACCCGCGGCAAGACGGAAAGACCCCGUGAACCUUUACUAUAGCUUGACACUGAACAUUGAGCCUUGAUGUGUAGGAUAGGUGGGAGGCUUUGAAGCGUGGACGCCAGUCUGCGUGGAGCCGACCUUGAAAUACCACCCUUUAAUGUUUGAUGUUCUAACGUGGACCCGUAAUCCGGGUUGCGGACAGUGUCUGGUGGGUAGUUUGACUGGGGCGGUCUCCUCCUAAAGAGUAACGGAGGAGCACGAAGGUUGGCUAAUCCUGGUCGGACAUCAGGAGGUUAGUGCAAUGGCAUAAGCCAGCUUGACUGCGAGCGUGACGGCGCGAGCAGGUGCGAAAGCAGGUCAUAGUGAUCCGGUGGUUCUGAAUGGAAGGGCCAUCGCUCAACGGAUAAAAGGUACUCCGGGGAUAACAGGCUGAUACCGCCCAAGAGUUCAUAUCGACGGCGGUGUUUGGCACCUCGAUGUCGGCUCAUCACAUCCUGGGGCUGAAGUAGGUCCCAAGGGUAUGGCUGUUCGCCAUUUAAAGUGGUACGCGAGCUGGGUUUAGAACGUCGUGAGACAGUUCGGUCCCUAUCUGCCGUGGGCGCUGGAGAACUGAGGGGGGCUGCUCCUAGUACGAGAGGACCGGAGUGGACGCAUCACUGGUGUUCGGGUUGUCAUGCCAAUGGCACUGCCCGGUAGCUAAAUGCGGAAGAGAUAAGUGCUGAAAGCAUCUAAGCACGAAACUUGCCCCGAGAUGAGUUCUCCCUGAGACUUAGAGUCUCCUGAAGGAACGUUGAAGACGACGACGUUGAUAGGCCGGGUGUGUAAGCGCAGCGAUGCGUUGAGCUAACCGGUACUAAUGAACCGUGAGGCUUAACCUU